UUCGAUGCUUGUAUGCUACUCC
rnacentral:miRNA from 3 species